rnacentral:tRNA from 1 species
GCCGGGGUAGCUCAGCUGGUUAGAGCACUAGAUUGUGGAUCUAGGGGCCGGCGGUUCGAACCCGCCCCCCGGUA